UACGAAGGGGGCUAGCGUUGCUCGGAAUCACUGGGCGUAAAGGGUGCGUAGGCGGGUCUUUAAGUCAGGGGUGAAAUCCUGGAGCUCAACUCCAGAACUGCCCUUGAUACUGAGGAUCUUGAGUUCGGGAGAGGUGAGUGGAACUGCGAGUGUAGAGGUGAAAUUCGUAGAUAUUCGCAAGAACACCAGUGGCGAAGGCGGCUCUCUGGACCGAUACUGACGCUGAGGCGCGAAAGCGUGGGGAGCAAACAGG
rnacentral:rRNA from 1 species